rnacentral:rRNA from 1 species
GUAGGGAAUCUUGCGCAAUGGGCGAAAGCCUGACGCAGCCAUGCCGCGUGAAUGAUGAAGGUCUUAGGAUUGUAAAAUUCUUUCACCGGGGACGAUAAUGACGGUACCCGGAGAAGAAGCCCCGGCUAACUUCGUGCCAGCAGCCGCGGUAAUACGAAGGGGGCUAGCGUUGCUCGGAAUUACUGGGCGUAAAGGGAGCGUAGGCGGAUAGUUUAGUCAGAGGUGAAAGCCCAGGGCUCAACCUUGGAAUUGCCUUUGAUACUGGCUAUCUUGAGUAUGGAAGAGGUAUGUGGAACUCCGAGUGUAGAGGUGAAAUUCGUAGAUAUUCGGAAGAACACCAGUGGCGAAGGCGACAUACUGGUCCAUUACUGACGCUGAGGCGCGAAAGCGUGGGGAGCAAACAGGAUUAGAAACCCGAGUAGUCC